rnacentral:tRNA from 1 species
GACCGAUAUUUGUCUUUGUUUUGAAAGCAAAGCUAGAGUGUUUAAAAGUGCACUCAUUGGUUU